rnacentral:rRNA from 1 species
GACGAACGCUGGCGGCGUGCUUAACACAUGCAAGUCGAACAAUGAACCCGGAGCUUGCUCCGGUGGAUUAGUGGCGAACGGGUGAGCAACACGUGAGUAACCUGCCCUUGACUCUGGGAUAACUGCGGGAAACUGUAGCUAAUACCGGAUACGACCCUCGGCGGCAUCGCCAGGGGGUGGAAAGAAUUUCGGUCAAGGAUGGACUCGCGGCCUAGCAGCUAGUUGGUGAGGUAACGGCCCACCAAGGCGACGACGGGUAGCCGGCCUGAGAGGGUGACCGGCCACACUGGGACUGAGACACGGCCCAGACUCCUACGGGAGGCAGCAGUGGGGAAUAUUGCACAAUGGGCGCAAGCCUGAUGCAGCAACGCCGCGUGAGGGAUGACGGCCUUCGGGUUGUAAACCUCUUUUAGUAGGGAAGAAGCGAAAGUGACGGUACCCGCAGAAAAAGCACCGGCUAACUACGUGCCAGCCGCCGCCGUAA